UCUUUUGCAGAGAUCACCUCGCCAUCGUCUUGAUAUUCUUAAAACGUCCUGAGAUAAUCAUUUAUUCUCAUCGUCCGCAGUAUGAAGACAUUGAAGUUUUCAGCUUUAUGGGUGGUUAUGUUGGUAUGUGGCUGGGAGUUUCCCUGGUUGCUGUUUUCGAUUUUCUGGAAAGUGUGACUCUCGUCAUUUGCUACUGGAUCCAUAACCGAAUCUCAAUUAAAAAAGACCUAAAAAUUGAGUUAGGUUGACGAAUUGCAUCUCUACCUGUUUAAAUUGUUUCUUAAUGCUAAGAAAAGAGCAAGUUUUUGUAUUCUUUCUUGUUGCUCAACUCUUAUCCAAUGUACUGAGAAAACAAGCUUUCAGUAUGAAAUGAGCAAUGUACUUCGUAAUAUUGGAGAUUACUUUAUUAAAAUAGUGAUUUAAAACUGUCUUUAUUAAAAUCUUGACUUGCCUUUCGAA